rnacentral:misc_RNA from 1 species
AAGAAACCAAAAUCAUUGUUGCUUUCCAUCCUUACACAAAGUACAUCUGCAGAAAAGCAAUGGGUAAAGCACUGCCUGCGCUCCUCUUCUUGUACUUCAUUUCAGUUGGAAAGUUGGUCACAGCUAAUAAUUGUCAGCAGGUACAAAAAUACAAUCUGCUUCAUUACAAAUUAAUCAGAUAAAGUGAAUCAUUGUUGAGAGAAAAUUUUCUAUUCGAUGAAAUUGCAGAAAACUUGGUGUGUAGCCAAGCCAUCUUCAGACCAAGCAACUUUACUGGCAAAUAUUAACUAUGCAUGCUCUCAAGUUGAUUGCAGAAUUCUGCAGAAGGGUUGUCCUUGCUUUUCUCCAGAUAAUCUCAUUAACCAUGCCUCCAUAGCCAUGAAUCUCUACUACCAGUCCAGGGGAAGGAACAAAUGGAAUUGCGAUUUCAGGAACUCUGCUCUCAUUGUCAUCUCUGAUCCCAGUAAGUUGAUUCGUUACACAUUCUUAUAAUGAAAUUGUUUUUAUAUUCACUGAAAUCGGUUUCGAGUUCGAACCGUAAUUGGAGCCUGAUUAACUUCUUUUUCAAUUUGCAGGUUAUGCUGAUUGCAUAUAUGCAUAAUAGUUGGUCCAGCAGGAAGUGGGAUUUGCCCGUGAAAAGUUGUAGAAGCUUUUGGCUUGGUUUUUGAAUAUUGUUGCAGAAUAGUGUAGUCUAAUUCUAAUAUGCAAUCUUUUGCCUAAUUUAGUUGAAUUCUGUCUCUGUAAUUGUCACUCAAAGGAAAAUGAAAGAUAAUUUACUGUUGCAGUGCCUGG